rnacentral:lncRNA from 1 species
AGCCGCCUCGCCGGCGCUGGCCAGGCUCAGCAGCAGCAGCUUUUCAACCCGGAGCUCCUCCGCCUCGCCGCUGCGCUGGGGUCGUUGAACCAGCAGCAGCAGUUUCCGAUGAACAACCAGAACACUCAAACGGCGCCGUCUCAGCAGAUUCAACAGCAGCAGGCUGACGUUGCGGGUUAUCAGGAAUUAAAAAAUAAUGGCGCUGGUGGGUCCCAGCAGGAGAGUUUUGUUUCAGUCCCUGAAGACUUUGGGUUUUGGAAUACGAUCCCUGAACUUGCGGAGAAUUGCCAAACUAAUUUCCAGUCUAAUAACGGUGGUGGCGGGGGUUAUAAUUAUUACGGUCAGAGUAGUAACGUUGAAUCCUCCGUUAUGUCGAGCCCGGCGCAGCUGACGCCGUCAUCAUCUGCGUUUGUGAACGGUGGGCGGAGCUUGAGUAAUAGCACGGCGGCCGCG